GCCCUCGUAGCUCAAUGGCCAGAGCGUCGGUCUUCGGAACCGCAGGUUGGGGGUUCGAAUCCCUCCGAGGGUACCA
rnacentral:tRNA from 1 species